rnacentral:rRNA from 1 species
CUACGUGCCAGCAGCCGCGGUAAUACGGAAGGUCCAGGCGUUAUCCGGAUUUAUUGGGUUUAAAGGGAGCGUAGGCGGAUUGUUAAGUCAGCGGUUAAAGGGUGUGGCUCAACCAUGCAUUGCCGUUGAAACUGGCGAUCUUGAGUGCAGACAGGGAUGCCGGAAUUCGUGGUGUAGCGGUGAGAUGCUUAGAUAUCACGAAGAACUCCGAUCGCGAAGGCAGGUGUCCGGGCUGCAACUGACGCUGAGGCUCGAAAGUGUGGGUAUCAAACAGGAUUAGAUACCCUGGUAGUCCACACAGUAAACGAUGUAUACUCGCGGUUUGCGAUAGACAGUAAGCCGCCAAGCGAAAGCAUUAAGUAUACCACCUGGGGAGUACGCCGGCAACGGUGAAACUCAAAGGAAUUGACGGGGGCCCGCACAAGCGGAGGAACAUGUGGUUUAAUUCGAUGAUACGCGAGGAACCUUACCCGGGCUUGAACUAACGGUGACGAAUCUAGAGAUAG